AGGGGAGUAGCUCAAUUGGUAGAGCACCCGACUCCAAAUCGGGCGGUUGCGAGUUCGAGUCUUGUCUCCCCUGCCA
rnacentral:tRNA from 2 species